AUUGAACGCUGGCGGCAUGCCUUACACAUGCAAGUCGAACGGUAACGCGGGGCAACCUGGCGACGAGUGGCGAACGGGUGAGUAAUGCAUCGGAACGUGCCCAGUAGUGGGGGAUAGCCCGGCGAAAGCCGGAUUAAUACCGCAUACGACCUACGGGUGAAAGCGGGGGACCGUAAGGCCUCGCGCUAUUGGAGCGGCCGGUGUCAGAUUAGGUUGUUGGUGGGGUAAAAGCCUACCAAGCCGACGAUCUGUAGCUGGUCUGAGAGGACGACCAGCCACACUGGGACUGAGACACGGCCCAGACUCCUACGGGAGGCAGCAGUGGGGAAUUUUGGACAAUGGGGGCAACCCUGAUCCAGCCAUGCCGCGUGUGGGAAGAAGGCCUUCGGGUUGUAAACCGCUUUUGUCAGGGAAGAAACGCUCUGGGCUAAUACCCCGGGGUAAUAACGGUACCUGAAGAAUAAGCACCGGCUAACUACGUGCCAGCCGCCGCCGUAAUAC
rnacentral:rRNA from 1 species